rnacentral:tRNA from 1 species
AAGAUUGUGGAGCAGUGGGUAGCACUGUCGCCUCACAGCGAGAGUCCUUAGUUCAAAUCCUGGCCGUUUUG